GAGAUGCUUGCCAUGAUUUCACUUUGAUGGUUGCUGCAGUAACGUCUUUAGCACUUGGGAUCAACACAGAGGUUUCUGAUUGUCGUCACAGCUACUGUCAGUGUCUACAUACAGUCUCUCAACAAACUUGAAUGAUGAAAAGAGAAAGAUACAUCUCGAGGUGACAAGAGGUGGAAGACGAGUGGAUAAAUCAAUCUAUGACUUCGUGGUGGGUGAUGUCUUGGCAAUCAAGUUCCUGCGGGUGGAGUGCUAAUAUCUGGCCACUCUCUUUCCCUUGAUGAGUCUAGCAUGACUGGAGAGCAAAAUCGUCUCAAUCUGAUUUUGGCAACAGUGGCGUUUCGGUAACAGCCACUUUUCUUGUUUUUGGACGAUACUCUUUUGCAUGGUUUCUCUGGUGAUUGAAAUUAUGCAAAACUUUGGUGACUCAUGAAAGGCAGAGAGUGUGUUGCUUGUUUUUUCCCAUCGCUUGUGGAUUGAAGAGGAAGAGAUGGUACAAGACUAGUCUUGGAGUUGGAAGUAUUAUAGGGGAGGAGGAUUCAAAGAUAUUAAGUUAUUUUCACCGAUGAUAGUUUCUUGUUUAUUUAUGUGUUACAUAUCUUGAUAGGGUGUCAAUGCAUGAUUCAAAUUACGUGUAGAUUUGAUAUUCCAAGAGGAGGGUGACUAAGCCAUGGCUGCCUGUCUCGCUCCUGCUAGGCUAUUGCCAACUCUUGUUUUCUUUAAAACGAGGGACUGCAAAUCUGUAACCUUGUCUUCUUUUGGAAUUACUCCUCAACAGCUUCUCAAAGGAUCACAACAAGCAGCAAUAUGGAUGGGCUUGUCAUAAGGUGAAUGGAGCACAACAAUUGUUCUCAUCAACAAUAUGGAGUGGCCUCAAGGAUUGUCAAAUACGCUCUAGACUAGCUUGUCAUAAUGUCACAACUCACAACAAUGGCUCCCUGCAGCAAUAUGGAGGGAUUGUGGAGGAUAAUGCUAUGAUGAUCGAUUGGUGAUUAAGGAGGAUGCUUCUAAUAUAUGUCGGUGAUGGAGGUGGUGCAAAAACCAACAGCUUGUAUCAUACCGUUGUCAAAGGAUCACAACAGUGGCUCCCUGCAGAGCAAUAUGGAGGGGGUUAAGAUUGCAGUUAUAUGAGACGUGCUUAUUAUAUAUGUCUGCUUAUUUCUUUAUCUCUUGUCUCUAGUUAACUUUGGUAUGCAAUUUUUUUUUUGCUGCAUCAGCCUCAAGGAUUGUCUAAUACGGCUUGUCAUAAUGUCACAACAAUGGAUUCCCUGCGGCAAUAUAGAGCGCCUCAAGGAUUGUCAUAUUCUCUCAGGACUACCAGUGAAAGGUAUCAGUUGAAAUGAUGAUGAUGAUGACUUGCUAAAGCGC